UGGCCCCACCACAAGGAGUGUGCUCGGAU
rnacentral:piRNA from 1 species